GUCUUAGAGGUGGAGGCAAGAUCGUGAUAGUUAAUCUUCAGAAAACACCGAAGGACAAGAAAGCAAAUGUAGUGAUUCAUGGUCUUGUUGAUAAGGUGGUUGCAGGGGUCAUGGAAUCUCUCAACAUGAAGAUUCCUCCAUAUGUCAGAAUCGAUCU